CCUACGGGAGGCAGCAGUGGGGAAUAUUGGACAAUGGGCGCAAGCCUGAUCCAGCCAUACCGCGUGGGUGAAGAAGGCCUUCGGGUUGUAAAGCCCUUUUGUUGGGAAAGAAAAGCAGUCGGUUAAUACCCGAUUGUUCUGACGGUACCCAAAGAAUAAGCACCGGCUAACUUCGUGCCAGCAGCCGCGGUAAUACGAAGGGUGCAAGCGUUACUCGGAAUUACCGGGCGUAAAGCGUGCGUAGGUGGUUGUUUAAGUCUGUCGCGAAAGCCCUGGGCUCAACCUGGGAAUUGCGAUGGAAACUGGGCGACUAGAGUGUGGCGGAGGGUAGUGGAAUUCCUGGUGUAGCAGUGAAAUGCGUAGAGAUCAGGAGGAACAUCCGUGGCGAAGGCGACUGCCUGGGCCAACACUGACACUGAGGCACGAAAGCGUGGGGAGCAAACAGGAUUAGAUACCCUGGUAGUCCACGCCCUAAACGAUGCGAACUGGAUGUUGGGUGCAAUUUGGCACGCAGUAUCGAAGCUAACGCGUUAAGUUCGCCGCCUGGGGAGUACGGUCGCAAGACUGAAACUCAAAGGAAUUGACGG
rnacentral:rRNA from 1 species